rnacentral:rRNA from 1 species
AUGUACUGCUGCUGCCGUGCAGGCCGCCCGGACUUGGUGGUUGCCUUCUUCGGCCGCCUCCUCAGGUUGGGGCUGCGCUUGGACGUCAUCUCCUUAAACAAUCUCCUCAAGGGGCUUUGCCAGGCUAAGCGCUCAAAUGAGGCAUUGGAUCUGCUGCUCCACCGGAUGCCCGAGCUACACUGUGCGCCUGAUGUCUUCUCGUACAACAUAGUAAUCAACGGCUGCUUGAAAGAAGGUGAAGUAGACAAAGCGUGCAAUCUCUUCCAUGAGAUGCCCCAACUGGGAGUUCAACCUGAUGUGGUGACCUACACCUCAAUCAUGGACGCACUAAGCAAGUCCGGAGCAAUGGACAAGGCAGAAGUGCUCCUUCGGCAAAUGGUUGAUCAAGGAAUUGAACCCAAUAUCAGGACAUAUAGCUGUCUGAUCCAUGGAUAUUCUACUUUUGGUCAGUGGAAGGAGGCACUUAGGGUAUUCAAAGAAAUGGCAACUCUUGGUGUUGUACCAGACGUUGUCACGUUGAGCUCAUUAAUCGAUUCCCUUUGCAAGCACAGAAGGACAAAGGAAGCUAGAGAAAUUUUUGACUCUAUGGCUGCAAAGGGCCUGAAACCUAAUAUCGUCUCCUACUCUACUAUGCUUAAUGGGUAUGUCAAAGAAGGAUCCUUCGAGGAUAUGACUGAUCUCUUCAAUUCGAUGGUACGGAAUGGUAUUGUACCUAACCACCAUAUUUUCAACAUACAGAUCAAUGCAUAUGCUAAACGUGGACUGAUGGAUGAGGCUAUGCACAUGUUCGAAGUAAUGAGGCAACAAGGAGUAAACCCAAACGUAGUUGACUAUCUAGUAGUAAUGAAUUCACUCUGCAAAAUGGGUAGGAUGGAUGCUGCUCUGGACAAAUUUAAUCAGAUGGUCAAUCAAGGAGUUUCACCUAACAAAGCUGUUUACCAAUGCCUGGUUCUGGGUUCUUGCUCUCAUGGUCAUUUUGUGAAAGCCAAGGAAUUGAUUUCUGAAGCGGUUAAUAGAGGUCUGUGUUCUAACAGUGUGUUCUUCUAUCCUGUAAUAAACGACCUUUGCAAAGAAGGAAAGGUAGAAGGAAAGGUGAAGGAGGCUCAGGAUAUGUUUGACUUCAUUGUAGGUAUUGGUCAUCGGCCUGAUGUGAUUAUGUACACUUCACUGAUGGAUGGAUAUUGCCUUGUUGGCAAGGUGGAGGAAGCACUGAGAGUACUUGAUGCUAUGAAGUCUGCUGGCCUCCAACCUGAUGCUUUUACAUAUGGUAUACUUAUUAAUGGCUACUGUAAAAUUGGAAGGAUCGACGAGGGAUUGAGUCUUGUCAGGGAAAUUUCACUCAGUGGGGUUAAGCCCACGACUAUUAUGUACAACAUUAUACUUGAUGGGCUGUUUUGCUCUGGGAGAACAGUUCCUGCAAAGGAAAAAUUCCAUAAGAUGAAUGAAAGUGCCAUACCAGUGGGCGUUGGAACAUACAACAUAGUUCUUAGUGGACUUUGUAAAAAUAAUUGCACUGAUGAAGCAAUAGAGCUGUUCAAGAAAUUACGUGCUGUGAACGUGAAGAUUAAUGUCAUAACACUCACUACCAUGAUUUCUGCAAUGUUUUCACAAAAGAAUGGAUCCACGCUCGCCUUACAUCUUCUCUCUUCCUUUUGCCAUCUCAUUUUGUUUGCUCAACUAAACAUAUAG